AGACCCGAAACCCGGUGAUCUAGCCAUGGGCAGGUUGAAGGUUGGGUAACACUAACUGGAGGACCGAACCGACUAAUGUUGAAAAAUUAGCGGAUGACCUGUGGCUGGGGGUGAAAGGCCAAUCAAACCGGGAGAUAGCUGGUUCUCCCCGAAAGCUAUUUAGGUAGCGCCUCGUGAAUUCAUCUCCGGGGGUAGAGCACUGUUUCGGCUAGGGGGCCAUCCCGGCUUACCAACCCGAUGCAAACUGCGAAUACCGGAGAAUGUUAUCACGGGAGACACACGGCGGGUGCUAACGUCCGUCGUGAAGAGGGAAACAACCCAGACCGCCAGCUAAGGUCCCAAAGUCAUGGUUAAGUGGGAAACGAUGUGGGAAGGCCCAGACAGCCAGGAUGUUGGCUUAGAAGCAGCCAUCAUUUAAAGAAAGCGUAAUAGCUCACUGGUCGAGUCGGCCUGCGCGGAAGAUGUAACGGGGCUAAACCAUGCACCGAAGCUGCGGCAGCGAACGUAUCACUUAAAGCGAUUCAGCGGGUUACGAUUGACGGAGCGAAGCGACGUCAAAGCGUAUACAAAGUCGAGUCGGUUUAAGGAUACGUUCGUUGGGUAGGGGAGCGUUCUGUAAGCCUGCGAAGGUGGCCUGUGAGGGUUGCUGGAGGUAUCAGAAGUGCGAAUGCUGACAUAAGUAACGAUAAAGCGGGUGAAAAGCCCGCUCGCCGGAAGACCAAGGGUUCCUGUCCAACGUUAAUCGGGGCAGGGUGAGUCGACCCCUAAGGCGAGGCCGAAAGGCGUAGUCGAUGGGAAACGGGUUAAUAUUCCCGUACUUGGUGUUACUGCGAAGGGGGGACGGAGAAGGCUAUGUUGGCCGGGCGACGGUU
rnacentral:rRNA from 3 species